rnacentral:miRNA from 1 species
UUUAAGUGUGUGUGUGUGUAUGUGUGUAUAUAUACAUAUAUAUAUACACACACACAUAUACACACACACACACUUAAAUAC